rnacentral:rRNA from 1 species
CAACUUUUAACGGUGGAUCUCUUGGCUCGUGCAUCGAUGAAGAACGCAGCCAGGUGCGAUAAGUAGUGUGAAUUGCAGAAUUCAGUGAAUCAUCGAAUUUUUGAACGCAAAUGGCGCUCCUUGGCUCUCCAAGGAGCAUGUCUGUCUGAGGGUCGAUC